ACGAACGCUGGCGGCAUGCCUAACACAUGCAAGUCGAACGAGACCUUCGGGUCUAGUGGCGCACGGGUGCGUAACGCGUGGGAACCUGCCCUUAGGUUCGGAAUAACUCCCCGAAAGGGGUGCUAAUACCGGAUAAUGUCUUCGGACCAAAGAUUUAUCGCCUUUGGAUGGGCCCGCGUUGGAUUAGCUAGUUGGUAGGGUAAAAGCCUACCGAGGCGACGAUCCAUAGCUGGUCUGAGAGGAUGAUCAGCCACACUGGGACUGAGACACGGCCCAGACUCCUACGGGAGGCAGCAGUGGGGAAUAUUGGACAAUGGGCGAAAGCCUGAUCCAGCAAUGCCGCGUGAGUGAUGAAGGCCUUAGGGUUGUAAAGCUCUUUUACCCGGGAUGAUAAUGACAGUACCGGGAGAAUAAGCUCCGGCUAACUCCGUG
rnacentral:rRNA from 1 species